rnacentral:ncRNA from 1 species
AUACAGGCCGCGAAGGGUCAAGGUAAAAGAGUAAAUUUUUUUAAGAGAGCCGUUGGUUGCUGCGAAACGGUAAAAAGCUCUUUGAAGUUACGUCCCGGAGCCGCAUUUCCGAAGCACAGUAGGUUAUGCCGUUUUGCAAGCGUUAAUUGCCGAAGUUUUUAUAACUUCACGAGGCUUUUUCCGUGAGGGAAAGGCAAACCGAGGUGGUACCGCGAUUUUUCGUCCUCUGU